UACGGAGGGUGCAAACGUUGCUCGGAAUCAUUGGGCGUAAAGCGCACGUAGGCGGCCUGAUAAGUCGGGUGUGAAAGCCCUGGGCUCAACCCAGGAAGUGCACUCGAAACUGUCAGGCUUGAAUAUGGAAGAGGGUCGCGGAAUUCCCGGUGUAGAGGUGAAGUUCGUAGAUAUCGGGAGGAACACCAGUGGCGAAGGCGGCGACCUGGGCCAAUAUUGACGCUGAGGUGCGAAAGCGUGGGGAGCAAACAGG
rnacentral:rRNA from 1 species